rnacentral:lncRNA from 1 species
AAGCUGCAGAGACGGGUGGCUCCCUGAGGAUUACUGAGCAGUAGACAGAGCCAAACUGGACAGCAAAUUACAGCAUCAGUUGCCACCACCCACCUCGGCAAUAAAAGCCCCAGAUUUAAAAUACAGGAAGCAGAUUUCAUCAAAGGAGUUCCUUACUGUGAAAGGGCACAAUUCGGUUCAUGUGAAAUGUGUUUGAUGAAAGGAUGGGAAAUAUGGGAAGGACACACAGACACACAGACGCACAGACUGCUUCACCCACAAGGAGCACUCCCUGGGAUCACAAGCUGAGUAAUGUCUUCUCUUGUCUUCAGUUUGGGAAGUUUUUUUUUGGUGAGUAAUAUGUUUUUAAUUUCUUCAUAUU